UUUUGCUAUUCGACGGGAAGGAAGAGAAACUCGGGGAAGGUGCUUGUGGCGGCGGCAAGACAGAGGCGCAGGUCGGCGCUACAAGAGUUCGAGGACUCGAUUUGGAAGCAUCGGUCGCGGUGGCGCAGCGGGGAAGCGACUCGCCUAGGAUGCGAGAAGCUGACGGUUCGAAUCCCCGUGGGUGCCGCUGCCGCGAUCGUCCAUUACUUUAGUCGGUCGGUUGUUACACCGGGUUAUGGGUCCUGCCACCUGCGUAGCCUUGGGCAAGUUGCGCAGUCUCAAAUGGCCCACCUUGGCAGGACCCCAUUUGGGGCUGCGGAGCGAGCUUGAGGUGAGAAGGUGAGUAGGGCCCAUAACCAGGGAAAUAACCGACCUUAUAUUUAUUGCCAGCUAGCGAAUUAAAAAAAAAAAUAAAAAAAUUUUUUUUUCUUCUUUCUA